rnacentral:rRNA from 1 species
GAAAGUUGCGGGAAAUAGUUCAAGAGCGACAUUGAGUGGUCAAAGGUUCCAUUGAGUGCUGGGUGAUGGCGUACUUUUUGUAGAACGGGCCGGCGAGUUACGUUAACGAGCGAGGUUAAGGGGAAGACCCGGAGCCGGAGCGAAAGCGAGUCUGAAGAGGGCGACAAGUUCGUUAACGUAGACCCGAAACCGGGUGAUCUACCCAUGGGCAGGGUGAAGCGAGAUUAAACUUUCGUGGAGGCCCGAACCGACCGGCGUUGAAAAGCCGGCGGAUGACCUGUGGGUAGGGGUGAAAUGCCAAUCGAACCCGGAGAUAGCUGGUUCUCCCCGAAAUAGCUUUAGGGCUAGCCUCAAAGGGAGCUUAACGGAGGUAGAGCACUGAUAAGGCUAGGGGCCUUACCAGGUUACCGAACCUUUUCAAACUCCGAAUGCCGUUAAGACAACUUUGGGAGUCAGACUGCGGGUGCAAAGAUUCGUAGUCGAGAGGGAAACAGCCCAGACCAACAGCUAAGGUCCCAAAAGACGGGCUAAGUGGGAAAGGAUGUAGAGUUGCUUAAACAACCAGGAUGUUGGCUUAGAAGCAGCCAUCAUUUAAAGAGUGCGUAAUAGCUCACUGGUCGAGUGACUCUGCGCCGAAAAUGUAGCGGGGCUCAAGCCCGUUACCGAAGCUUUGGGAACUGAGUGCACCACUGGUGCAGCAGUUCGGUAGGGGAGCGUUCUGUAAGCGUCGAAGCUGUACCGUAAGGAGCAGUGGAGCUUACAGAAGAGAGAAUGCCGGCAUAAGUAAGCGAGAAGGCAGGUGAGAAUCCUGCCCGCCGAAAACCUAAGGGUUCCUGGGGAAGGCUCGUCCACCCAGGGUAAGUCGGGACCUAAGCCGAGGCGGAGAGCGUAGGCGAUGGGCAAUCGGUUGAAAUUCCGAUACCACCUGGAGGCCGUUAACAGGAUGGGGUGACGCAGGAGGGUAGACACAGCGCACCGUUGGUUGUGUGCGUCCAAGCCAGUAGGGAGUGAGGCAGGCAAAUCCGUCUCACACACAUCCUGAGAGGUGACGGGGAGCGAAAUUAAAGUAGCGAACUGGUCGAACCCAGACUGCCAAGAAAAGCCUCUAACGAGGACUCCGGGUGCCCGUACCGCAAACCGACACAGGUAGGUGGGGAGAGGAUCCCGAGGCGCGCGAGCGAACCUUCGUUAAGGAACUCGGCAAAAUGACCCCGUAACUUCGGGAGAAGGGGUACCCCGUUAGGGUGAUAGUAAAGACUUACUGGAGCCCGAGGGGGUCGCAGAGAAGUGGCCCAGGCGACUGUUUACCAAAAACACAGGUGCCUGCUAAAGCGGAAGCUGAAGUAUAGGUGCUGACGCCUGCCCGGUGCUGGAAGGUUAAGGGGAAGGGUUAUCCAGCACUCAACUCUGCGUAUUGAAGCAGGAGGUAGCUAUGUGUAUUACGUGUAUGUGUUAAAGAAUGAAGAAGGAGAGCUCUAUAUAGGUCAAACAAGUGACCUCAAGGCUCGACUAAAAGCACAUAACGAAGAGAAGAACCGUUCCACAAGAAGACAUCGAUGGGAAGUAGUAUACUACGAAGCCUAUAAAGCAAAAGAGGAUGCGUUCGAUAGGGAACGGCAACUGAAAAAGCAUGGCCAGGCAAAACGCUGGCUGAAGCAGCGCAUAGCAAGGAGCCUGCAAAGCAGUACGUAGAGUUGAGUGCUGGAGAAGCUCUGAACCGAAGCCCCAGUAAACGGCGGCCGUAACUAUAACGGUCCUAAGGUAGCGAAAUUCCUUGUCGGGUAAGUUCCGACCCGCACGAAAGGCGUAACGAUCUGGGCGCUGUCUCAACGAAGGGCUCGGUGAAAUUGUAGUACCCGUGAAGAUGCGGGUUACCUGCGAUAGGACAGUAAGACCCCGUGGAGCUUUACUGUAGCCUGACAUUGGGUUUUGGUGUUUCAUGUACAGGAUAGGUGGGAGGCAGCGAACCACUGCCGCCAGGUAGUGGGGAGCCGACGGUGGGAUACCACUCUUGAAGCACUGAAAUUCUAACCCGGGGCCGUGAACCGGUCUGGGGACAGUGUCAGGUGGGCAGUUUGACUGGGGCGGUCGCCUCCUAAAAGGUAACGGAGGCGCCCAAAGGUUCCCUCAGCGCGGAUGGAAAUCGCGCGUAGAGUGCAAAGGCAGAAGGGAGCUUGACUGCGAGACCGACGGGUCGAGCAGGGACGAAAGUCGGGCUUAGUGAUCCGGUGGUCCCGAGUGGAAGGGCCAUCGCUCAACGGAUAAAAGCUACCCCGGGGAUAACAGGCUUAUCCCGCCCAAGAGUCCACAUCGACGGCGGGGUUUGGCACCUCGAUGUCGGCUCAUCGCAUCCUGGGGCUGAAGUAGGUCCCAAGGGUUGGGCUGUUCGCCCAUUAAAGCGGUACGUGAGCUGGGUUCAGAACGUCGUGAGACAGUUCGGUCCCUAUCCAUCGCAGGCGGAGGAAACUUGAGAGGAGCUGUCCCUAGUACGAGAGGACCGGGAUGGACAGACCGCUGGUGUACCAGCUGUCCCGCCAGGGGCACCGCUGGGUAGCCAAGUCUGGAAGGGAUAAGCGCUGAAAGCAUCUAAGCGCGAAGCCCACCUCAAGAUGAGGUUUCCCAUGGCAUAAGCCAGUAAGACCCCUGGAAGACUACCAGGUAGAUAGGCCGGGAGUGUAAGGGGGGUAACCCCUUGAGCGGACCGGUACUAAUCGGUCGAGGGCUUGACCAU